UCACAUUGAGGAGUGGAAAAGAGUUGCAAGACAAUAGGGCUGAAAAAUUGCAAAAACAGGGCAUGGAAGAAAUUCUGCCAGAAAGUGAUCAGAGCAGUGAUUUGCCCAAUUCACUAGUAGAAACUGACCCGAUCGCUGGGGAAACUGAGCUGUCCAGCAGUGAUUUGCCCAAAUCACCAGAGAAGGCAGAAUCCAGUCAAAGGCAGAAACAACAACCAGCAGAGAAAUUCAAGGUACCUCCUCCCUUCCCAAAGAGAUUUGCAAGGUCCCAAAAGGAGAAAGAAGAAAAAGAGAUACUUG
rnacentral:lncRNA from 1 species